AAUGAUAAAAUAAAGCGACAACAAAAGUUCUAUUGUUCUAUAAACGUUUUCUUGACAUUAAUUAAAGUUAAAAAGGAAAAUCGAAGAAAGUCACCGGUGAUAAUUAGGUGUACAUACCUCGAUUCGAUAACCAUAAGAGAAAGAAAUCUUCAAAUUAUUGAAGAAGAAGGAGAGUCAUUAAACGUGGAAACGUAACCUCAAAAGGAGCCAAGAUAGGACAGGAAGGGGAAAGUACAAGGAAGGAGGAAAAGGACUUCACCAAGGACCUUCGAAAGAACUCGAUCGUAAUUUGUCACGCAACAGGAAUCUCUAAUAUUGAAAUUCCAAUAUUCCCUCAUAGCAACGGGAUUUUCUUUAAACACGCGAAAAGUUACAAUCACUUCGUUCGACUGUUCGGCUUCGUGUCCAACUCGGAUCUGCGAACUCGUGUUUAAAAGCGACUUAACGCCCUAGCACAGGCACUCGCAGAUCCCCUAACAAACUGUUAGUUGAUCCAUUCCUCGUCGCCAUCGUUCUGAUUCUGAAGGAAAAACCAGUCACAGACAGAGAGAGAGAG